UACGUAGGUGGCAAGCGUUGUCCGGAAUUAUUGGGCGUAAAGCGCGCGCAGGUGGUUUCUUAAGUCUGAUGUGAAAGCCCACGGCUCAACCGUGGAGGGUCAUUGGAAACUGGGGAACUUGAGUGCAGAAGAGGAAAGUGGAAUUCCAAGUGUAGCGGUGAAAUGCGUAGAGAUUUGGAGGAACACCAGUGGCGAAGGCGACUUUCUGGUCUGUAACUGACACUGAGAGACGAAAGCCAGGGGAGCAAACGGG
rnacentral:rRNA from 1 species